rnacentral:rRNA from 2 species
GGCGGCAGUAGCGCGGUGGUCCCACCUGACCCCAUGCCGAACUCAGAAGUGAAACGCCGUAGCGCCGAUGGUAGUGUAGGGUCUCCCCAUGCGAGAGUAGGGAACUGCCAGAC